rnacentral:tRNA from 1 species
GCGAGGGUAGCUCAGUUGGAUAGAGCAUCGGCCUUCUAAGCCGGCGGUCGUGGGUUCGAAUCCCACCCCUCGUGCCA